CUCCCAUGGCAGCGGAUCACUCGGCUCGUGGGU
rnacentral:rRNA from 2 species